rnacentral:rRNA from 1 species
UACAGAGGUCCCGAGCGUUGUUCGGAUUCACUGGGCGUAAAGGGUGCGUAGGUGGCGAGGUAAGUCGGAUGUGAAAGCUCGGAGCUCAACUCCGAAAUGGCAUUGGAAACUACCUUGCUCGAGGGUUGGAGGGGGGACUGGAAUACUUGGUGUAGCAGUGAAAUGCGUAGAUAUCAAGUGGAACACCAGUGGCGAAGGCGAGUCCCUGGACAACUCCUGACACUGAGGCACGAAAGCCAGGGGAGCGAACGGG